CACGUAGGGCGCAAGCGUUGUCCGGAAUUAUUGGGCGUAAAGAGCUCGUAGGCGGUCUGUUACGUCUGCUGUGAAAACCCGCGGCUCAACUGCGGGCUUGCAGCCGAUACGGGCAGGCUAGAGUUCGGUAGGGGAGACUGGAAUUCCUGGUGUAGCGGUGAAAUGCGCAGAUAUCAGGAGGAACACCGAUGGCGAAGGCAGGUCUCUGGGCCGCAACUGACGCUGAGGAGCGAAAGCAUGGGGAGCGAACAGG
rnacentral:rRNA from 1 species